GCGCCGUCACCACCCUUUCCUUCCCGCGGUGGCAGUCUUGGCACACAGGGCGCACGUGUGUCCUAGGAUUGUGAAAGAGGCAGAGCUGGGAUGCGAACCCGGGCCGUUUGGGUCUUGCCGGCUGCGCUAGGCUGAGGAAAACGCGUUCUUGAACCAGGCUUUGAAGAUUGAGAAGGUUUGAUGGGUGGAGAUAACUGAGCGAGCUCUGCCCUAGUUCGCUGAAAGACCUUGGGAAGGCGUUUGAUGUUUGAGGGCCAUACUUUCCUCCGACGUGAAAAUGGCUGGAUUUAGGAAGACUAAGAACUAAUAUGUUCACCUUCUAGCAAAUUACUGGAAGGAACAUGAGAAAUAUCCAUCUACAAGUUCUGACUGAACUACUUCUCACCACAAAACAUAUCCCGAUAUGUCCACUUUUCUGCAUUCCCACUGCUACCAUCCCGGUCCGGUUCACGACUGGCUUUCUCCCAAACUACUCCAACGACCUCCUAACUGGCUACGUAAA